ACUUUUUUUCUUUCAAUUUUGCUGGUCGGAUUAUAUGCUUCUCUCUUGGUCUUAACCUAAAAUAGAUCUAAAAAUAAAACAUUAUCCCUGAACUGUUUGACGGAAAAAUUUGAUUAUUUUUCCUAAAAGUUUUCAUAUAAAAAACCCUUCUUUGCCUUCUUCUCUGGAUGCUUCUCAUAAUUUAAAAUGAAUUUCAAAAUGGUGAAUAUUAUGAUUAUUUUUCCCGUUUUCCUGAUCUCUAAAAGGAUAUCUACAAUUCUUCUGGUUUUUCUAAUUUUUUAAAAAUAAAAAAUAAAAAAAAAUAUCCUUUUAAUCUUUCAUUUAUUGUUGCCCUCCAUGGGUCUUUCUGGUUUUGAUCCGGAAAAGAAUAGUUUGAGAAUCUCUAAAAGUUGUUUAUCCUCUCUCGUUAAAGGUGUUUUCUUUUCGUCUUAAAUAGGCAUGUUUAAAAUUUACUAUGAACAAGAAUGGGGAUUGUUUUAUCUUGGCUAGUUUUCUUUCGGGUUUGUCUUCUUUAAAGAUCUUGAUUCAAAUGGGUUUGUCCUUUAUAAUUAUCUUAAAAUCUCUGUUAGGAUUCUCAGGAUUGGCUUCUUCUUUUCUUGCCUGUUUUGUUGGUCCGAUUUGCUUAUGUUUGUCUUCAUUUCAAUUGCUGGAAGGAUUUUCACUUAGUUUUUCUCUGAAUUUUUUUUUUGUGAUUUAGAAAUCUGAUGUGAAAAAAUAAAUAAAUCCCAUGACCCUGACCCUAACUCCGCUGAUCCCAAAUGGCACCCCAGGCAUCAGUUUUUUCUCUCCAAGGAAAGUGUUCUGGAAGUAUCGCGGUUGGCUACACAGGGGCCUUUUCCUCUACUUUGUCUCUUGAAAUUACAUUUUGGUUUCGUUACUUUUUUUAAAAUUGAAUUUCAUAUUUUCUUUAAAUCUCAUCUCUAGCAGACAGUAAAUAGCCUUGAAUAAUUGAUAGUAGUACUAGGUGUUCUAUUUUGGAUAGUUUAAUUGCUUUUAGUUUUGGUUUGGCUAUCCAAAUCCACUAGUUCCAUGUUUAUCAUUUAAUGACAACAUUUCAAGUCCACUAAUAUAUUUUUAUUGAGCAUUAGGAUUCCAGUAUUUCUUGAGAAGUGAUACCUUAUUUAUUAGAUAGUACAACACCCGUAUUAGUUUAAAUCGCUUUUUUGUUAGACCUUUGCUUUAAGUCUCUAGUUUUGUUAUAGCCCUUCUACUUUAUCUGUAGCUUUUUCACCGGAAUAGUUGAGACCGGGCAGUAAUCUAGUCUUCUUAAAUUGAUUUCAGCUUGUACUGUCGUGCUAGUUUUUUAGUUUCAGUCAGUUUUCAAUUCGUGUUAGUUACAAUAUGUGUUAUUUAUGUCUACUCCAUUUCCCUAUUUAUAUGUAUUGUGUUUGUGUAAUGUUAUUGUGUAAUUUAACAUAUUUUUGUGUUUCUUCUGGGAAUAGGAAUCUGAAAACUCCUGUGAAACAACAUGAUGCUGAAAUCAAUACUGGAUGUGUUCUAUAUGGUUGUAUUUUUUCGAAGAUGCAACCUUCACCAUUUAAAUCUUCGAUUACGGCAAAGACUAAACCGUCGUCCUCAAUCAUUAAGAAGAGAUCUCUUUCAUGUAUAGGCCGUCGUGACACUUUUAUCAGACUUAUUCAUGGUAGAAGGGUCCAGGAAUCCACCUUGAUAGUUUUAUCGCAUGUUAAGACUCCCAAUCUUCACAACUUGUUUGUGAAUCAAUACAUGCUGCCAGUAUUAGAAAACUACUCAUUCGGUACCGAUGGAGAGCGAAUGCUUCCUAGUUUCACGAAGAAUUAUAAAUGUUUGUGUUAUCUUUGCAGUCUUAGUUUUAGGGUAUUCUUUAGGACUUAUCGCGUUGUGCUCUUUUCCUUCGUUAAGGUUUUAUCCCUGCGGGUUUUUCUUUUAUCCCUACGAGUUUUCCUUUUCAAGGUUUUUAACGAGGCAACAAAUGUGUGUCCAACACCUCCGGGUGGUUUUAUCUUUUUCUUAUUUCUGUUUGUUAUUUAUUUUUCAUGUAAUAUCUUUAAGCUUACAGUUGUAAACUUGGCUUUCUAAGUUUUAAUGUUUUAUCUUCUGAAACAUUUUCGGUU